CAGCACCUCAAGUGGUCAGGAUGAUUAUUGGGCCUAAAGCAUCCGUAGCCGGCUCUGUAAGUUUUCGGUUAAAUCUGUACGCUUAACGUACAGGCUGCCGGGAAUACUGCAGAGCUAGGGAGUGGGAGAGGUAGACGGUACUCGGUAGGAAGGGGUAAAAUCCUUUGAUCUAUUGAUGACCACCUGUGGCGAAGGCGGUCUACCAGAACACGUCCGACGGUGAGGGAUGAAAGCUGGGGGAGCAAACCGGAUUAGAUACCCGAGUAGUCC
rnacentral:rRNA from 1 species